CCGCGGUGCGUGUGGGCGGCGGGCGGUGUGGGCGCGGCGUGUGCGGCAGGCUGGGCUGCACCGCAGCGCAUACACUACAAUGGCUGCUGGAAGGACGGGAAAGCAAACAAUUUCCAGGCCCGCCGCGUCCAGCCCGAAAUAUGGGGAAAAAAUUACAGAAAAAUCGGAGAACACUGUAAAGGGUGGAAACGGGGCGCAGAGGGGAUGCUGAGGCUCCCGCGUGCCACAGCAGAGGCCUGAGGCAGCCAGGUAAAAGCCCAGCAGUAAAGGUCAGUAGCCUCACCUAUGCCAUACUGUCCAGCCUGGCCUGGGCUUGCUGGAAGCACUGACUCAUCAGAUGCGAGCAAUACCCAAGAAACAACCACAGGAUCCUGCAGAGGCUGGAGGAUGAAGCCGAUCCAGUAAGUACUGCAUGCCCAAUUGCACAAUAAUUUCACAGUAGGGUUUGAAUUACUUUUUCUGGAGUGGAGAGCUCUGGCUCAGGUAGCAGCCUUCCACUUGCAGUUCCACUCGGCAGUUCUCAAACGCAGGUCAGGCAUGUCUUUAUUUAUUAGCCGUGGGUUCCUCACCCACACGUACGUGCUCUCGCUCACUGGCCACCUCCAACCUUCUGUGCUCCAGCUGUGAUUCCUAUAUGUCUUUGCUUCUCUUAUCCUCUCACCUGAAGAAUAACAACUUUACUAUUGGUACUCCUUUCCCAUCUCAAAUUAUUUUAUGUCAAACACAGUAAAUUCCAUGCAGCCCUCACUCAGCUAACCUUGCCUAAUUACCAGCCCUGGUUUGCUGAAGUACUACUUGGAACCUUUACUGUCAGUUUUCUUGUACCUCCUUCUUCUCCUUCCCCUUGUUAUCUUUGCUCCCUACCCUCUGUGUAAGAGACCCACCCCAUAAUGAAGUUCUCUUUGCUGCCCAAGUCUCUGCAGCCCAUCCCGUAGUUCCCUGCCCUGUUUGGGAAGCCUAGAGAUCUCUAGAAGGACCGAAGAAGUGACCCUGCUCUUGAUGCUGAUCUCGGGAGCUCAUGGCUCUUUCUCUGACUGUGUAGGGGAGCUGGGAUGCUGUGGGGAGGGCUCAGGGCUAGGUACAGCAAGGAGCAAAUACUUCCCUGCUGAGCUAGAGCCACGGCACAGCUCUCCUUCGUGCUCCCUGGCAUCUCAGCUCCUCACCUGGGUGGAAGGAGAGAGGGUUCAGAGGCUGGAGGGAAGUGGUUGUUCGGGGGAGGCACAGAUGCAGCGGAUGGGUGAUGUUACAUGGGACUCUUUGUGUUUCCUCCUCCUGGCUGCACCCCUCACCUCUCUACUCCUCAGUGUCAUCUGUGACAAAUCUGCACCGUUGACAUGGGAUUUACUAGCGUUCUCUCUUUGGUACCAGACAUCACAAAUAGAAGAGUUCUUGAUCGCACUUCUUGAUGCUUAUGCAUUUUUCACUCUGUGUGGUUUUCUUUCUUUUGCCCCCUCCAUCAACCGAAACAGCACCCCCCUCCUCAGUCUGUGUCUAGAGCAGCUCAUUUCUUUGCUGUGCCAGGUCCCACACGUGAGUUGCACUUUUCUGCCUCCUCUCUCAGCUGAUCUGAUCUCCUCUCGUUUCCUCCUCGCUAAUCACAGCCUUCCCCAGCUUUGGUUAUGCUGCCCCCCUGCUCCAGACCUUAGUCAUGCUCAGAGUGUUUAUAAAUCUGAAUGCAGCCUCAAAUAUAAAGCCGUGCUGUCGCUGAGUUUCGUUAGCGUGCUCAAUCUCUGCUGAGGGCGAAGCACUCGAGGAAUUUCAAACUGCUUUGCUUUCCUAAAACUUUAUUUAGCAUAGUGGGCUUGUGUGUAUGUAACUACCAGUACAGAUUUGUCUUAAUUUUGCAGUGUGCUUUACAGUAACUUGUAGGAGCCACAAUGAGUCUGUGGGAGGGAGGUUUAAUACAAAUGUUGCAAGGUAAAGGAGUUCCUUUUUUCCCUUUCUUUCUUUUUUUCCUUUUUUUUUCUUAACCCCUUCCUUCUAGGAAGUGCACACCUAGUAGUCCUGGAUGAAGCUUGUUAAUAGGCAGCCUUACAGUGCGUUAUCUCUGCUUACCUAUUGUCUGUAGCAGUGAAGCCCUUACAUCUCCCAGGCAGUAGUAUCCUUCAGCGUAAGGACAGCUGGUUGCACAGUGUGUGCAAUUACAGAUGUAAUGCCUACUGUCUUUUUCCUUUUAAACACAACCAAAACCCUUUAUUUUCAAAUGCCUGUCCAACAGAGUCUGACGAUUUCAAGUUUGGAAACAGUAGUGACCAACUCACCCCGUCACGUGUGUCCCAGAAAAACCUAUAGCAGCAUAGAUAGCAUAUGAAAAGCAUCUUGCAGUUUUGAGCAGAGCACGGUGAAAAGAAAUGCUGGGGGAAGAGAAUUUGAAUGUGGUUGAGGGAGGAAGCUAGUUAGCAUUAUUAAAGCAGUUUGUAAUGAGUGGGGUGUGUAGUAACGUCUUCUAUUUUUUUCUGAUUUCUCUUAGCACAUAAAAAGCUGCAGCCCGUAUGAAGAGGGGAAUUAUUAGCUAAAAGAUAGCCGUCAGAUUUCGGAAGAUAAAUGAAAGGUGGAUCUGAACCUUGAAAUUGUCAGCUCAGCAGGAGGUUGCAAAGGCAGAGUGGUGAAAAGAGGGUCUCCUGCAGAACUCCCAAGAAGAUUGAAAUGGAUUGUGCAAUUCUGGAAGGGGACAAGAAACGGGCAAUACAAAGGUUUUGUGAUACGAUCAUCCAACAUCAGAGCUAUAGCGGUAGUAGCAAGGCCAUCUUGACUAAAUGUAAGUGACACUUCAUUUAAUGUAAAGUUGCAGUAAUCUAUUAAGUUAUUUUCUUUUCAGAUAGAGCAGUGCUUCCUCGACUGUAAGGUAUCUUGGAGGAGGAUUUGCUGCUGCUUGGAAAUUGUACGCUCUUUCUUAGUUUUCAUCUGUCUUUGGGGCUGGGAUAAAAGAAGCAGGGAGGAGGAGAAGGAGGAGGAGGCAGGGCAGACAUGAUCAAGAUUUUAAUUGAAAUAGCACCAAUAAAUAAUACAUCCCAG
ensembl:lncRNA